AGCCAACGUGGCAUAGUGGUUUGAGUACUAGACUAUGACUCUGGAGACUAGAGAUUGAUUCCCUGCUCAGCUA